rfam:Echinostoma caproni strain Egypt genome assembly, scaffold: ECPE_scaffold0009774
GCACUGCUGAUGAGACCCAACCAGGUCGAAACAGCUGCCCAGUAC